CUCGUUAAUCCGGUCACGUCUCUUUUUCUCGAUGAGCCGGUGCGGCAGUUUGUAGGUCUCCUGCAAAGCGCACGGAGAGAUGGUGGGCGCGGGAGGAAGGAGGAGCCCUGACUGGCAAGAACCCCCGGAUGCACCCAGAACUACUUGGAGUUGAAAGCCGCGCAGAAGGCAGGACUGGAGUUGAGGCUUGAAGGGGCCAGGGGUGCCAACUUACCCUGAUGACAAGUUCCAGGUCCCCCAGGGAAAGUGCAGGAGCGAGAGCCUGAACCGGCAUUCUGGACUCGACCGUGUGUGCCCACGUUACCCCUGACAGUCUGCUGGGCAGUCACCCAUCGAGAAGAACCACUGGCCACUGGACUAAACCCUCCCCUGUAUAUUUGUUCAGGAGCUCUCAGAGUUCUCAUUCCUCAGCUGUCCAGAGAGGUUGGUGACAAGCUUCAUGGUGGACUCCAGCUUCUCCUGCAGGUUCCUCAGCUCAUUCUGUUCUCCUUCCGAAUCGCUGCUGACCAGGGACAUGGCUCUCAUCCUCGGGAACCAGUCUAGGUUUCUUUCCUAGAACCCAGACGGAAAAAAGAGGGCGUCACUUCUACCAGCAAAGACCACAGAGGCACUCUUCCCAUGCCAUCCUGUCUUGGCAGCAUCGCUCGUCGGGCUGUCUCUGCCUGCUACAGAACUCAUGUA